rnacentral:rRNA from 1 species
CCUACGGUGUGCAGCAGUGGGGAAUAUUGGACAAUGGGCGAAAGCCUGAUCCAGCCAUGCCGCGUGUGUGAAGAAGGCCUUCGGGUUGUAAAGCACUUUCAGUGGGGAAGAAAGCCUUGGGGCUAAUACCCUCGAGGAAGGACAUCACCCACAGAAGAAGCACCGGCUAACUCCGUGCCAGCAGCCGCGGUAAUACGGAGGGUGCGAGCGUUAAUCGGAAUUACUGGGCGUAAAGCGCGCGUAGGCGGUCUGAUAAGCCGGUUGUGAAAGCCCCGGGCUCAACCUGGGAACGGCAUCCGGAACUGUCAGGCUAGAGUGCAGGAGAGGAAGGUAGAAUUCCCGGUGUAGCGGUGAAAUGCGUAGAGAUCGGGAGGAAUACCAGUGGCGAAGGCGGCCUUCUGGACUGACACUGACGCUGAGGUGCGAAAGCGUGGGUAGCAAACAGGAUUAGAUACCCGAGUAGUC